rnacentral:rRNA from 1 species
GAUGAACGCUGACAGAAUGCUUAACACAUGCAAGUCAACUUGAACUUCGGUUUGGGUGGCGGACGGGUGAGUAACGCGUAAAGAACUUGCCUCACAGCUAGGGACAACAUUUGGAAACGAAUGCUAAUACCUGAUAUUAUGAUUAUAUGGCAUCGUAUAAUUAUGAAAGCUAUAUGCGCUGUGAGAGAGCUUUGCGUCCCAUUAGCUAGUUGGAGAGGUAACAGCUCACCAAGGCGAUGAUGGGUAGCCGGCCUGAGAGGGUGAUCGGCCACAAGGGGACGCAGACACGCCCCGUAUCCCUCCGGGGGGAGCAGGAGGGGAAAAUAGGGGAAUGGAGCGAGAGUGUGAUACAGAGAUUGUGUGUGUGCAAUGAAGUUUUUCGGGAUGUAAAGUGCUCUCAGUUGGGAAGAAAAAAAUGACGGUACCAACAGAAGAAGUGACGGCUAAAUACGUG